rnacentral:rRNA from 1 species
GGAUGACCGCUGGCGGCGUGCCUAAUACAUGCAAGUCGAGCGAACAGAUGAGGAGCUUGCUCCUCUGACGUUAGCGGCGGACGGGUGAGUAACACGUGGAUAACCUACCUAUAAGACUGGGAUAACUUCGGGAAACCGGAGCUAAUACCGGAUAAUAUAUUGAACCGCAUGGUUCAAUAGUGAAAGACGGUUUUGCUGUCACUUAUAGAUGGAUCCGCGCCGCAUUAGCUAGUUGGUAAGGUAACGGCUUACCAAGGCAACGAUGCGUAGCCGACCUGAGAGGGUGAUCGGCCACACUGGAACUGAGACACGGUCCAGACUCCUACGGGAGGCAGCAGUAGGGAAUCUUCCGCAAUGGGCGAAAGCCUGACGGAGCAACGCCGCGUGAGUGAUGAAGGUCUUCGGAUCGUAAAACUCUGUUAUUAGGGAAGAACAAAUGUGUAAGUAACUAUGCACGUCUUGACGGUACCUAAUCAGAAAGCCACGGCUAACUACGUG